AAUGGUAAUAUCUCUGUAUUUCACUAACUUGUACAUAUUUUUAAUAUUACAGUUGUUAACUGCAUCUUACAUGUGUGGAUUAUCACCCUAAUCUUCAUUCCUACCUAACAAUAUAAUUAUUGGCUUACAUAUAUAUUGUACAUAUU